GCAAACUUGGUCAUUUAGAGGAAGUAAAAGUCGUAACAAGGUUUCCGUAGGUGAACCUGCGGAAGGAUCAUUAUCGAAAUCGAAGGCCUAGGAGGGGAGACCCUCCGAAGCUUUUCAAGCAUUCUCAACACCCGUGUGCACCCGCUGUAGGUCCUUCGGGAUCUACGUCUCACCUUUCGAACUCGUAUGUCCAUAGAAUGUAUCGAGUCGCUUCGGCGACGGCGAACCUUAUACAACUUUCAGCAACGGAUCUCUUGGCUCUCGCAUCGAUGAAGAACGCAGC
rnacentral:misc_RNA from 1 species